GACGAACGCUGGCGGCGUGCUUAACACAUGCAAGUCGAACGGAAAGGCCCUGCUUGCAGGGUGCUCGAGUGGCGAACGGGUGAGUAACACGUGGGUGAUCUGCCCCUUACUUUGGGAUAAGCCUGGGAAACUGGGUCUAAUACUGGAUAGGACCAUGCUGUAGGUGGUGUGGUGGAAAGAUUAGUUUCGGUAAGGGAUGAGCUCGCGGCCUAUCAGCUUGUUGGUGGGGUAAUGGCCUACCAAGGCGUCGACGGGUAGCCGGCCUGAGAGGGUGGACGGCCACAUUGGGACUGAGAUACGGCCCAGACUCCUACGGGAGGCAGCAGUGGGGAAUACUGCACAAUGGGCGCAAGCCUGAUGCAGCGACGCCGCGUGGGGGAUGACGGCCUUCGGGUUGUAAACUCCUUUCAGCCAUGACGAAGCCCUUGUGGUGACGGUAGUGGUAGAAGAAGCACCGGCUAACUACGUG
rnacentral:rRNA from 1 species